GUAUGUAUAUAGCGAUCGAAUCUUUUACAAAGUAUUAUAUUGCAAUAAAAUAUAAAUUUAUUAAAUCGAUGGAAUUAUAACUUAUUCUAAAAUUUUUCUUUAAUCAUCGAAGAUGGUAAAUGGAUAAUAACGAGUUAAUAACGAAAACGUUUUUAAAAUUUCUUCGUUUUGACAUUUUGUCACGAUUUUUCAUGCAUUAUAUAUGAACUUCACGUUCAGAAGUUUUCUCAUCGAUAUUUUCUGCAGAACAUUCGUAUUGCGAAUUCAUUUCAUAUUUCUUUGAAAAACUUCUAAAUGCUUAAUUCCCCGCUCGUCUUUCAGAACUUUCGAGUGUCACGAGUAAUUAACACGUUUACCCAACGGUGAUAUCCACGGUAAAGGUCCACCAAAAAGGAAAGUGUAAUUCAAUGUCGGACCUAUGGACGUAUACACGAGCGGACAGAGAAGUAACCGCACGAUAACGCGGCAUUCCAGCAUGAGAGGAUAGUAAUUAAGACCUCAACUGGUCCCAAGGGACUUUGUGCACCGUCUCUCUAUAUCUUAUCGCAUGGCUCGCCCGACUGGAUGUCCAUGCAUUAUAUCUAUGGGUUUAUUCACCCAAGAGGGCAGUUCCGUAUCGUGAAACGAGUCGUUGUACACGUAGACAGAGUUCGAUCUUGUGUUUUCUAAUUAUCGAUGAGGUUCCUCGAACGGGCGUCGCUUCUUCACGGAUAUAUCAGGUGUUUCGAGUGGAACGUUUAAAACCUGAGUCAAUUAAGACAUUCUGUCUUGGAAAUUUUUACAAGCUCUGCUAUCGAUUCGGAUACACUCGUAUCGUGGUCUAGAGAAUGGAGGAUGGGGAAUAAAAUUAGUAUCAAGAAUGAUAUAAACUUUGAAAUCUUUAAAUCCAAGAUUUAAAAUGUUCCGAGAUUUCGAAUCUUGAAAUUUUUUUAUAUCAAUUUUACGAUUUUUUUUACGAUUCUCUAGAUAAACAAUGAUUAUAAAUAAGAAGUUUCGUAAGAGAUUUUAAUUGAUAAGAAUUUAUUUUUAAAGGAAUUACAUAUACGAUGAAUAAUAUUGCCAGUAUCGAUAAAAUGUGAAUCGACAAUGUGAUAAAUAUCGAUGGUUAGCGAAGACUUGGAAUUAGUUGCAAGAUGGCCGAUCGACCGGUGAAAUCAUUAAAUUGUCAGGAAAUUGAACCGGUUUAGACGAGUGCAAAGUAAUCUCGAGACGUGGAUAAAAAUACGGAUGGAAAGCUGGUCGUACGGCAAUUAUAUCGGCACGACUUAACGCAUAACGAUCAUUUUUUCCGACGCUGGGCCGGGGAACAUGGGAAAAUAGUUUAAUAUCGGCGAACCGGUUUAACGCAGCUCGUUUUGAGAUGGCGACGGUGACGUUCGGUCACGCAACCCGCAUUAUAUACUUUGAAAAUAAGAACAAGAAGAGUAUCGUUGAUGAGCAUGCACCGAGAGAAUUUAAAGAGACGCGCAAAGAACACGAAACCAUUAUCGUGUUGACUAAUUGCGGAAUUUUAUAACAACAGAUGGUCAGUGGACAUCUUGAGAAUGACAGAAUUUCAAAGAGGGAUAAAUUUUUUAUGAGAAAAUAUUUGGAGAACAUGAACAAUAUAUUUUUGCAAAUAUUAUGAAACGUUAAUUGUGCAAGAACAUUUAUAUUUUUUAUUUGAAAUUUAUAAGAAUUACUAGUUUUAUUGUUAAAUGAUAUAUUUCUGAAAGAAAAUUGACCAAUAACCGUGGUCAUAGAUAUACUGAUUCCUUGAGGUUUCAAGUUGACAUGAUUAAUAGAAGCCGAAAUUGGUUCUUAAUGACACGAUAAAGAAAAGGGAAUCCAACCGCCAUUAGAUGCAUUUUAGUUACGCGUUUCUAAUUUCCACUUGGGCUAAUGAGCUUUUCAUCGAGAUUCGAGUAAUCUUCUGCUCUCAGAAAAAAAUGAUCUGCCCGCUUACUUUUCUUUUUUAUCUGAGCUUAUAAACGACCAUGAUUCGAAAUAUCAAGAUAGAACGAUUAAUACUAGAUAAUUACAAAGUUUUUUCUUGGCAGGGGAAAAAAUGAAACAAAUGUAAGUAAACAAUAUUUAUUUAUCAAAUAAUUAUUUUUAUAUUGUUUACAGAAAGAAAAAUUAUAAAUAUGUAUCAGUUUAUAAAAGUCAGCAUUUUCAAUUUUUGAUUCUGGAAAUAAUUUUCCAGAAUCAAAAUUUAAUAGAAUUAUAUAUAUUCUUGGUUCUUUUUUUACACAGUUUAUUUUUACACGAUAUAUACAAAGUCAUAAAAAUAAUACAAAUCAAGUGUAUUUCUAUAUUUUCAAUUGUUUUUUAGAUAAUUCGUUUUAUUUCAAAACAAGUUUUAUAUUUUAUUUGUAAACCAAUUGUUACCAAUUAUUUUUUUACACGAUUUUUUUUUACGCUCAUUCAUUGUGUAAAAAGACCCAAAUAUAUAUGAAUUCUAUAAUACAUACUUAUACAAAUGCAUAACUUUAAAUUUAAAUUUAAUUCAGCAUACAUUCAAUUUCAACUCACAACAAUCAUUCACACUCGAUAUAUAUUUAUAGAUAUUUUUUAUAUGUGAUUUAUUAUUUAUUAUUUCAUCACGUAUUUUUUCAUCAUAAAAAUAAUAACAAUUUUCUCAUUUAUUUUAGAGAUACAUAUAUAUAUCCAUCCACUUCCUUUACAUUAAAUUAUGUUUCAUACAAAAAUAUAUUCGUUCAUUCAUUAAAUCUAUGUUUCUCAAUCGCGAAAUUAUUAAUCAAUGGAGAAUACGAGGCACGUGGACAACACACAUUGGGUAACGAUUCUGCGCGGAUGAUGCAUGCUUAGAGAGCGCCCAAGCAUUUCCAUCGUGAGGGAUGCCUCCAAGCGGCAGAUUCAUGUCAUCGUGUCAUCGAUAAUUGAUGUAUACGCGAACUAAUGGCUGUAAUUACCUCAACCUAAUAUCCAACGUGGAAUCUCGCGCUUCCCUGACGCGCAUACACAUCCGUGAUGGUGGGAACGAAGCGGUAUUCGCGCUAAAAUUUCCAGAAGAAAUUAAUGAUUUCACAGAGGCCGUGACAGUUGGGCCUUGAUAAUUAAUCGUCACGGUUUGCCUGAAGCGGCAUGCAUUGACUGGAUCUUCUUGUCAUAUUUCUUUCUAUUCUUCUUGGUCAUUCUUUGGACAAGAAUUAUGCCAGACCACCGUUUAUUACACAAUGAUUGUGACCUGACAUUUAUGAACAAUAAUACAUUUUUAGACGAGAAGAAAAGUUGGAUAAAGAAGUCUUCAGGAUUGACCUCGUUCGAAGAGUUCUUUAGCAAAGGAUUUCGAGUAUUGUUCGAGUGAAAUUUUGGAGCUUUGGAGAGUUUGCUGUACAAACAGGGACUAUUCUAUAUAUAGUCGGACGAGUAGAGUCAGUGCAGAUAAACAAAACACUUGUGUGUAAAGCGCGUGAUAUAUGCAGCGACCCAGGCUAUUGUAUGGCAAACGCAAGUCCACUAUUCACGGCUAGGAAGGAAGUUAUGUUAAAAUAAAAAGAUAUUAAUUAUUUGGAACUUAUUUUAUAAUUUUAUGUAAUGCGUUAUUUAUAUUUAUAUUCGCCGGAGAUGAAAUAUAAUAUAUAUGUAUACAUUAAUUUUAAGAAAAAUAAAUACCUAUAUUAUAUUAA